rnacentral:lncRNA from 1 species
AUGAAAGGAAAUACAUGUGAGCCACAAUGCCUACUCCACCCAUGCUCUACCAAGGUUUUACAGCACCACAAUGCCUACUCCACCCACGCUCUACCAAGGUUUUACAGCACCACAAUGCCUACUCCACCCAUGCUCUACCAAGGUUUUACAGCACCACAAUGCCUACUCCACCCAUGCUCUACCAAGGUUUUACAGCACCACAAUGCCUACUCCACCCAUGCUCUACCAAGGUUUUACAGCACCACAAUGCCUACUCCACCCAUGCUCUACCAAGGUUUUACAGCACCACAAUGCCUACUCCACCCCAUGCUCUACCAAGGUUUUACAGCACCACAAUGCCUACUCCACCCAUGCUCUACCAAGGUUUUACAGCACCACAAUGCCUACUCCACCCAUGCUCUACCAAGGUUUUACAGCACCACAAUGCCUACUCCACCCAUGCUCCACCAAGGUUUUACAGCAUCACAAUGCCUACUCCACCCAUGCUCCACCAAGGUUUUACAGCACCACAAUGCCUACUCCACCCAUGCUCUACCAAGGUUUUACAGCACCACAAUGCCUACUCCACCCAUGCUCUACCAAGGUUUUACAGCACCACAAUGCCUACUCCACCCAUGCUCUACCAAGGUUUUACAGCACCACAAUGCCUCCUCCACCCAUGCUCUACCAAGGUUUUACAGCACCACAAUGCCUAUUCCACCCAUGCUCUACCAAGGUUUUACAGCACCACAAUGCCUCCUCCACCCAUGCUCUACCAAGGUUUUACAGCCCCACAAUGCCUACUCCACCCAUGCUCUACCAAGGUUUUACAGCACCACAAUGCCUACUCCACCCAUGCUCUACCAAGGUUUUACAGCACCACAAUGCCUACUCCACCCACGCUCUACCAAGGUUUUACAGCACCACAAUGCCUACUCCACCCAUGCUCUACCAAGGUUUUACAGUCCCACAAUGCCUACUCCACCCAUGCUCUACCAAGGUUUUACAGCACACAGCUUUGACCUACUACAGUAG